rnacentral:misc_RNA from 1 species
AACGAGGCCGACCUGCGGCUGAGUUACCUGCGGAAGGAUCAUUACCGAGUUUACAACUCCCAAACCCCUGUGAACAUACCAAUUGUUGCCUCGGCGGAUCAGCCCGCUCCCGGUAAAACGGGACGGCCCGCCAGAGGACCCCUAAACUCUGUUUCUAUAUGUAACUUCUGAGUAAAACCAUAAAUAAAUCAAAACUUUCAGCAAUGGAUCU